rnacentral:tRNA from 1 species
GAGGGUAUAGCUCAAGUGGUAGAGCACAUGCUUAGCAUGCACAGGGCCUGGGUUCAAUUUCCACUACCUCCU